rnacentral:misc_RNA from 1 species
GCCAUUUCAAGCAUAAAUUGACACCAUCAAAUAGAACGAGGCAUAUAACUUUCUGAUCACACGUUUUACACCUCUUUCCCUUUUUUUCUCCCUUUAUAAAAUUGUUUAAACACACUUUAAUAAGCAUAACAUAAAGUCUGAGCUGCCUAAUGAUUCAUAAUGCAAAUGAACAUUAAAAAUCCUAAGUUAGCAAUUUUCUUCGUGUCAUUAAAAAGGGUCACAA